AAGAAAUUAUUCAUGCAAGGAGGAAAAGAUAAUAAAUUAGUACAAAGUACAACACAGCUAUACGAAUUGGAUACAUGGAGCUACAAGUGAUAUUCCUUUCAAAGCUACAUCUCUACAGUACAAGAUCUUCUACUCUACCCUCUUCUCUUGCCCAUCCUUCUCGAAUUUGGCAUCCCAUAAGACUCCAAAUUUGACAGCCAAUAACACCAAGGAUUUAACACCAAAAAGAUUGUUAGAAAUAGGCUUCACAAAGACUCAAGGUUGGAGACUUCUCCAAAAUAGCAAGUAUGGCCAGCUAAGCAAUACAUCAUCAACCGAGGCUGAGAUAGCAGCCAGGAGGGGCAGUCCCAACUUACACCAAAAUGGCAUACAAUUGGAUAAACACAAGGAAGAGAUAAGCUGGCAGCCCCAAAAAUAGGAGCCUUUGCCCCCAAGACAUGCACAAUUAAGUAAAGAAACAUGAUGCCAAGAAAGAGAUGGAGCUGGCAGCCAAAUAUGGGAGUCUUUGUCCCGAAGUUUCCAACAUAAGAGGCCUAUAUAAGCAGCCCCAUCUCCCUUCCCUUCCCCUCUCCUUUUGACACCACAAAUUCACUCAAAAUCAAGGAGUGCAGCAAGGAAACGGGAUGAGCAAGAAGGCGAAGAGAGGCAGCGGCGAAGCAGGGGGACAGCCGCGAACCGAGAGGAUUCACCGAGUGAGGAUAAAUUGCUCAAGGGCAAGUGAGGUCAAAGCGAAUAAUCGAAUUGAAGAAUAAGCAUAUCAGCGGCACUUGCAUGGAUUGGAAUGAUGGGUGACCGUUGAAGCUGCACUUGAAUGGAUUGGAAUGAUGGGUGACCGUUGAAGCAACACUUGAAUGGAUUGGAAUGAUGGGUGACCGUUGAAGCGCUACUUGCAUGGAUUGGAAUGAUUGGUGACCGUUGAAGCGGCACUUGACUGGGAUGGAAUGAUGAAUGAUGAAUGAUGAAUGAUGAAUUAGGAUUGAUGAAUGAUGAAAGAACUUAUUCUAGAGACAAACUUUUAGCUCACAAAAGAACUUAGUAAGCUCGGGCCUUUUAAGAAAAACCUCUGUGUGUUACUGUGAUAGCUUGACAACUAUAUAAUGUAUGUUUUGUUUUCGGCACGUGUCCACUGAGUACUCCUGUACUCAGCCCUGCAUGUAUUUAUAAAUGUGCAAGUUGAACGUCAAGAGGAUGGAGUGAUGAUCGGAGUCGAUGUUGUUAAACAAUCAAGUUGAUCUCGCAACGGUUCAUGUCUUCAUACACGAAGUCGUUUAGUAAGGACUAAUUCCGCUGUGUUUUUGUGAAGUGAGAAUUUUAGAAUCUCACCACCAAACUCUGAUUCAUUGUUGAGUUGUUUAUCCUAUCUCCAACACCAUGUAAUGAAAUACUUGGCUUCUAUGAUAUCAAUUGACUUGGCUUUGUG